ensembl:lncRNA
UGCUGGGAGAAAUUGUUGCUGGGUUACAGGGUUAAAUAGUCUUUCAAGACUGAAGUCAGCAGGACUGUGAGUUAGUAUCAGCCAGACGUGUUGCUGGGUUACAGGGUUAAAUAGUCUUUCAAGACUGAAGUCAGCAGGACUGUGAGUUAGUAUCAGCCAGACGUGUUGCUGGGUUACAGGGUUAAAUAGUCUUUCAAGACUGAAGUCAGCAGGACUGUGAGUUAGUAUCAGCCAGACGUGUUGCUGGGUUACAGGGUUAAAUAGUCUUUCAACCAGUUUGGAAAAGAGAAAACAGAACGUUCUGCUCCAUUGUUACACUCCCAUUGUGAAGUAGAAGGGUUCCAUUAUACUGUAUUAGAACACAACUGUACUUUAGAACCAGAAGAGACUCCACUAUCAACAUGAGAAAUGAUGGUCAACUGUAUAGACACACAUAGGUUGGGAUUCAAUCCAAUACUGUAUAGACACAUAGGCUGGGAUUCAAUCCAAUACUGUACAGACACAUAGGCUGGGAUUCAAUCCAAUACUGUAUAGACACAUAGGUUGGGAUACAAUCCAAUACUGUAUAGACAGACAGACAGGCUGGGAUUCAAUCCAAUACUGUAUAGACAGACACACAGACUGGGAUUCAAUCCAAUACUGUACAGACAGACACAUAGGCUGGGAUUCAAUCCAAUACUGUAUAGACACACACAGGCUGGGAUUCAAACCAAUACUGUACAGACAGACACAUAGGCUGGGAUUCAAUCCAAUACUGUACAGACAGACACAUAGGCUGGGAUUCAAUCCAAUACUGUAUAGACACACACAGGCUGGGAUUUAAUCCAAUACUGUAUAGACACACAGACUGGGAUUCAAUCCAACACUGUACAGACAUAGACACAUAGGCUGGGAUUCAAUCCAUUACUGUACAGACACAUAGGCUGGGAUUCAAUCCAAUACUGUAUAGACACACAUAGGUUGGGAUUCAAUCCAAUACUGUAUAGACCUACAUAGGCUGGGAUUCAAUACAAUACUGUAUAGACACACACAGCCUGGGAUUCAGUCCAAUACUGUAUAGACACACACAGCCUGGGAUUCAAUACAAUACUGUAUAGACACACACAGCCUGGGAUUCAAUCCAAUACUGUAUAGACCUACAUAGGCUGGGAUUCAAUCCAAUACUGUAUAGACACACACAGGCUGGGAUUCAAUCCAAUACUGUAUAGAUACACACAGCCUGGGAUUCAAUCCAGUACUGUAUACACACACAUAGGCUGAUUUUCAAUCCAAUACUGUAUAGACACACACAGGCUGAUAUUCAAUCCAAUACUGUAUACACACACACAGGCUGGGAUUCAAUCCAAUACUGUAUACACACACACAGGCUGGGAUUCAAUCCAAUACUGUAUAGACAGACACACAGACUGGGAUUCAAUCCAAUACUGUACAGACAGACACAUAGGCUGGGAUUCAAUCCAAUACUGUAUAGACACACACAGGCUGGGAUUCAAACCAAUACUGUAUAGACAGACACACAGGCUGGGAUUCAAUCCAAUACUGUACAGACAGACACAUAGGCUGGGAUUCAAUCCAAUACUGUAUAGACACACACAGGCUGGGAUUUAAUCCAAUACUGUAUCGACACACAGACUGGGAUUCAAUCCAACACUGUACAGACACACACAGGCUGAGAUUCAAUCCAAUACUGUAUACACACACACAGGCUGGGAUUCAAUCCAAUACUGUAUACACACACACAGGCUGAUUUUCAAUCCAAUACUGUAUACACAGUAUAUACAGCAAGGCACUCAACCUCAAUUGCUCCAGGGAUGUCAUUGAUCAUGUCUGACCCUGUCUAAAGACCCCAGCUCUCUGUGGGUGUUGAUAAUGUCUGACCCUGUCUAAAGACCCCAGCUCUCUGUGGGUGUUGAUAAUGUCUGACCCUGUCUAAAGACCCCAGCUCUCUGUGGGUGUUGAUAAUGUCUGACCCUGUCUAAAGACGCCAGCUCUCUGUGGGUGUUGAUAAUGUCUGACCCUGUCUAAAGACCCCAGCUCUCUGUGGGUGUUGAUAAUGUCUGACCCUGUCUAAAGACCCCAGCUCUCUGUGGGUGUUGAUAAUGUCUGACCCUGUCUAAAGACCCCAGCUCUCUGUGGGUGUUGAUAAUGUCUGACCCUGUCUAAAGACCCCAGCUCUCUGUGGGUGUUGAUAAUGUCUGACCCUGUCUAAAGACCCCAGCUCUCUGCGGGUGUUGAUAAUGUCUGACCCUGUCUAAAGACCCCAGCUCUCUGUGGGUGUUGAUAAUGUCUGACCCUGUCUAAAGACUCCAGCUCUCUGUGGGUGUUGAUAAUGUCUGACCCUGUCUAAAGACCCCAGCUCUCUGUGGGUGUUGGUAAUGUCUGACCCUGUCUAAAGACUCCAGCUCUCUGUGGGUGUUGAUAAUGUCUGACCCUGUCUAAAGACUCCAGCUCUCUGCGGGUGUUGAUAAUGUCUGACCCUGUCUAAAGACUCCAGCUCUCUGUGGGUGUUGAUAAUGUCUGACCCUCUCUAAAGACUCCAGCUCUCUGUGGGUGUUGAUAAUGUCUGACCCUGUCUAAAGACCCCAGCUUUCUGUGGGUGUUGAUAAUGUCUGACCCUGUCUAAAGACCCCAGCUCUCUGUGGGUGUUGAUAAUGUCUGACCCUGUCUAAAGACCCCAGCUCUCUGUGGGUGUUGAUAAUGUCUGACCCUGUCUAAAGACCCCAGCUCUCUGUGGGUGUUGAUAAUGUCUGACCCUGUCUAAAGACCCCAGCUCUCUGUGGGUGUUGAUAAUGUCUGACCCUGUCUAAAGACCCCAGCUCUCUGUGGGUGUUGAUAAUGUCUGACCCUGUCUAAAGACCCCAGCUCUCUGUGGGUGUUGAUAAUGUCUGACCCUGUCUAAAGCCCCAGCUCUCUGUGGGUGUUGAUAAUGUCUGACCCUGUCUAAAGACCCCAGCUCUCUGUGGGUGUUGAUAAUGUCUGACCCUGUCUAAAGACCCCAGCUCUCUGUGGGUGUGGAUAAUGUCUGGUCUGACCCUGUCUAAAGACCCCAGCUCUCUGUGGGUGUUGAUAAUGUCUGACCCUGUCUAAAGACCCCAGCUCUCUGUGGGUGUUGGGAUAUGUGUGAAACACCUGGACAAGUGUGAAACAGGACAAAUAACAGCAGCUACUAUAGUCACCAUCUAGUGAGUCUGACCUGAAAUAACCCCUGAACAUCUCAUGACUGUUUUAAUCAUGGCAGUUAUCUACAGUUUCUCUUUCCCUGUUUGGAAACAUGCAGAACCAGAUCAUCAUCGUCCCAUUGGAUAAUAAUGGACAUGUGGUAACAUGCAGAACUAGUUCAUCAUCGUUCCAUUGGAUAAUAAUGGACAUGUGGUAACAUGCAGAACUAGUUCAUCAUCGUCCCAUUGGAUAAUAAUGGACAUGUGGUAACAUGCAGAACUAGUUCAUCAUCGUUCCAUUGGAUAAUAAUGGACAUGUGGUAACAUGCAGAACUAGUUCAUCAUCGUUCCAUUGGAUAAUAAUGGACAUGUGGUAACAUGCAGAACUAGUUCAUCAUCGUUCCAUUGGAUAAUAAUGGACAUGUGGUAACAUGCAGAACUAGUUCAUCAUCGUCCCAUUGGACAACAAAGGACAUGUUGUAAAAAUAUAAGAUAUUUAUCUAAAGAGACAUCGGCACAUGUAGCAUGAGUCACAAAUGGCACCAUAUUCCGUUAAUCGUGCACUACUUUCUACCAGGCCCCUAGUGCACUACUUUCUACCAGGACCCUAGUGCACUACUUUCUACCAGGACCCUAGUGCACUACUUUCUACCAGGACCCUAGUGCACUACUUUCUACCAGGACCCUAGUGCACUACUUUCUACCAGGACCCUAGUGCACUAAUUUCUACCAGGCCCCUAGUGCACUACUUUAACCAGGACCCUAGUGCACUACUUUCUACCAGGCCCCUAGUGCACUACUUUAACCAGGACCCUAGUGCACUACUUUCUACCAGGCCCCUAGUGCACUACUUUAACCAGGCCCCUAGUGCACUACUUUAACCAGAACCCUAGUGCACUACUUUCUACCAGGCCCCUAGUGCACUACUUUAACCAGGCCCCUAGUGCACUACUUUCUACCAGGCCCCUAGUGCACUACUUUAACCAGGACCCUAGUGCACUACUUUCUACCAGGCCCCUAGUGCACUACUUUAACCAGGCCCCUAGUGCACUACUUUCUACCAGGCCCCUAGUGCACUACUUUAACCAGGGCCCUAGUGCACUACUUUCUACCAGGUCCCUAGUGCACUACUAAAUAUAAGAUAUUUAUAAGAUAUUUAUCUAAAGAGACAUCGGCACAUGUAGCAUGAGUCACAAAUGGCAUCAUAUUCCGUUAAUAGUGCACUACUUGCACUACUUUCUACCAGGACCCUAGUGCACUACUUUCUACCAGGACCCUAGUGCACUACUUUCUACCAGGACCCUAGUGCACUACUUUCUACCAGGACCCUAGUGCACUACUUUCUACCAGGACCCUAGUGCACUACUUUCUACCAGGACCCUAGUGCACUACUUUCUACCAGGCCCCUAGUGCACUACUUUAACCAGGACCCUUGUGCACUACUAAAUAUAAGAUAUUUAUAAGAUAUUUAUCUAAAGAGACAUCGGCACAUGUAGCAUGAGUC